GCCAGCAGCCAUAUCACCCUGCAACUCACAACUGGUAACCCACUGAAGCUAAGCAGGUGUGAGCCUGGUCAGUACCUGGAUGGGAGACCUCCUGGGAAAAACUAAGGUUGCUGCUGGAA
ensembl:rRNA 5S_rRNA 5S ribosomal RNA